GGCCCUGUAGCUCAGUGGAAAGAGCGUUCCCCUCCGGAGGGAAAAGUCCUCGGUUCGACCCCGAGCUGGGUCA
rnacentral:tRNA from 1 species